AUGACCAUAUCACAUUAAAACAUCAGUUCUCGUACGAUCACCGAAGUUAAGCAAAAGUUGAGCCUUUUCAGUACCUAAAUGGGUGACCGCUUGCGAAUACCAGGUGCUGUAA